rnacentral:lncRNA from 1 species
GGUGGACUACCAUAAGUCAGAACUAAUGAGGUUUUCGAGUGAGGCGAGCUUGUGGACUAUGGACAAUGAGGGUUUGUAAUUGUGGGGUAAGAAUAUGUGAAACAAGUUUUCUUUUGGUUUUAACUUUUGCCUUUUCAUUUUUCAUAAACAUAAAAAAAAUUUAACAAAUGGAAAAUAUAGAAAUACUAUGUUAAAAGAGAUGGAGAAGGGAGGAAAACAGAGGGAGAAGCAAAAGAGAAUGAAAAAAAAGAAAAAAAAGGAAAGUUAAAAGAACAUACAAGAAAAAAAAUUAAAUUGCUCACAACGAAAAAAAUAUGGGGACCGAUUGUAU